rnacentral:rRNA from 1 species
AAUGAACGCUGGCGGCAUGCCUAAUACAUGCAAGUCGAGCGGCGCGGGGGACGGGGGAGUGAUGCCUAGGGAUCUGCCCGGUGGUGGCGGACACCUUCCGGAGGGGGGCGCUAAUACCGCAUACUAGCAGAUGAGCCUAGGUCGGAUUAGCUAGAUGGUGGGGUAACGGCCUACCAAGGCGACGAUGCGUACCCGGUCUGAGAGGAUGAUCAGUCACACUGGAACUGAGACACGGCCCAGACUCCUACGGGAGGCAGCAGUGGGGAAUCUUGGGCAAUGGGCGAAAGCCUGAUCGAGCAAUGCCGCGUGUGUGAAGAAGGUCUUCGGAUGGUAAAGCACUUUAAGUAGGGAGGCGUUACCAACAGAAUAAGCCACGGCUAACUACGUGCCAGCCGCCGCGGUAAUUC